rnacentral:misc_RNA from 1 species
UUUCCGUAGGUGAACCUGCGGAAGGAUCAUUAAAUAAUUAAUGGUUGUUGGAGAGAUUUAUUUCUUUUCUUCAGCUACAAAUUUACCGUGAACUGUAUAUUACGCGGCGCUUGAGGAAUGCUUUCUGGUCAUAAUGGACAGGCCAGGAUAGAUGUUAACCGAGUCGCGAUCAAGCCUAGGCUUGGUGUCCUUAAUUAUUAUUAUCCAAAAGAAUUCAUUUUAAAAUAUUAUAAUAUGGCUUAAAAAACCAUUAAAACAACUUUUAACAACGGAUCUCUUGGUUCUC